GGAGUUUGGGCCGUGUCUCAGUCCCAAUGUGGCCGUUCACCCUCUCAGGCCGGCUACUGAUCGUCGCUUUGGUGGGCCGUUACCCCGCCAACUGGCUAAUCAGACGCGGAUCCAUCUCGCACCGAUAAAUCUUUUACCACAGCGCCAUGCGGCACCGUGGUCUUAUGCGGUAUUACCAGCCGUUUCCAGCUGCUAUCCCCCUGUGCGAGGCAGGUUAUCCACGCGUUACUCACCCGUCCGCCACUAAGUUAUGAAUCCAUCCGAAAAUUUCAUCAUAACCCCGUUCGACUUGCAUGUGUUAGGCACGCCGCCAGCGUUCAUC
rnacentral:rRNA from 1 species